AGCCAUGCAAGUUGAAUGGGAUACCUAAAUUUUCCAUAGCAAACUGCUCAGUAACACAUGAUCAACUUGCCCUAUGGAGAAAAAUAACCUCGGGAAACUGAGGAUAAUAUUUCAUAGUUGAAUAGGCUUGGAAAAGUUUUUCAAUGAAAAGGAAAAGAUAAAUGGUUCUUUUCUGCCAUAGGAUAGGAUCGUGGUCGAUUAUGGUAGUUGGUGAGGUAAUGGCUCACCAAGCCGAUAAUCGAUAGGGGCCGUGAGAGCGGGAGCCCCGAGAUGGGUACUGAGACACCGACCCAGACCUUACGAGGUGCAGCAGGCGCGAGACCUCCGCAAUACACGAAAGUGUGACGGGGUUACCCAAAGUGUUCAUUUUUGAACUGUGGUAGGUGAGUAAUGUCCCCUACUAGAAAGGAGAGGGCAAGGCUGGUGCCAGCCGCCGCGGUAAAACCAGCUCUUCAAGUGGUCGGGAUGAUUAUUGGGCUUAAAGUGUCCGUAGCCGGUUUAGUAAGUUCCUGGUAAAAUCAGGUAGCUUAACUAUCUGUAUGCUAGGAAUACUACUAUACUAGAGGGCGGGAGAGGUCUGAGGUACUACAGGGGUAGGGGUGAAAUCUUAAAUCCU
rnacentral:rRNA from 1 species